rnacentral:rRNA from 1 species
UACAGAGGGGGCGAGCGUUGUUCGGAAUUACUGGGCGUAAAGGGCGCGUAGGCGGCCCGCUAAGUCGAACGUGAAAUCCCCAGGCUCAACCUGGGAACUGCGUCCGAUACUGGCAGGCUUGAAUCCGGGAGAGGGAUGCGGAAUUCCAGGUGUAGCGGUGAAAUGCUUAGAUAUGACAUAGAACACCAAUUGCGAAGGCAGCUCACUACACAAUUAUUGACGCUGAGGCACGAAAGCGUGGGGAUCAAACAGG